UGGGACAAGCCCUGGAAACGGGGUCUAAUACCGGAUACGACUGCCGACCGCAUGGUCUGGUGGUGGAAAGCUCCGGCGGUGCAGGAUGAGCCCGCGGCCUAUCAGCUUGUUGGUGGGGUGAUGGCCUACCAAGGCGACGACGGGUAGCCGGCCUGAGAGGGCGACCGGCCACACUGGGACUGAGACACGGCCCAGACUCCUACGGGAGGCAGCAGUGGGGAAUAUUGCACAAUGGGCGGAAGCCUGAUGCAGCGACGCCGCGUGAGGGAUGACGGCCUUCGGGUUGUAAACCUCUUUCAGCAGGGAAGAAGCGUGAGUGACGGUACCUGCAGAAGAAGCACCGGCUAA
rnacentral:rRNA from 1 species